GGCUUAUGCCUGCACCAUCGACCGACCAUGAUCUUCUGUGAAAGGUUUGAGUACGAGCAUACCUGUUGGGACCCGAAAGAUGGUGAACUAUGCCUGAGCAGGGCGAAGCCAGAGGAAACUCUGGUGGAGGCUCGUAGAUGUGCUGACGUGCAAAUCGCUUUUCGGACUUGGGUAUAGGGGCGAAAGACUACUAGUAGCUGGUUCCCUCCGAAGUUUCCCCCAGGAUAGCUGGAGCUUGAUCAGUUUUAUCGGGUAAAGCGAAUGAUUAGAGGUACCGGGGAUGAAACAUCCUCGACCUAUUCUCAAACUUUAAAUAGGUAAGACGUCUGGGUUGCUUAAUUGAACCCAGGCAUUCAAUGAGAGCUCCAAGUGG
rnacentral:rRNA from 1 species